CCUCCCUCUCUUUCUCUAACCGAAUUUGCAGCACAAAUGUCCCCGGCCACUCUAAAUCCUCACCAACAUUAAUCUUCCUCUUCAGAGAGACAUCUCUCAGCUCCCAAAUUUCUAGGGUUUCUUCUCUGCACGCCUCCCAAUGCGGACGCAUACGUAAUCUAGCUAUCUACGUACACUGCAACGUACCUAGCUUAUAUAUUCAAUCAGGCUUUAUCAGUUUUGAAAUUGCAGAAGGGCAAUCAAAUGCUUGAAGAUUACCCCAGAUCUUUCAGAUAAGCAGCUGCAGUUUUCCAGCAUGCUCAAGUAUAUGACUCUGACAAGAAAAUUGUCAAGCAUAUGAGACCCAUACCACAAGAGCUUGUGGAGUCCCUUGAUGGAGAACUUGAUUUCCUUGGAUCGUAUUUUUUUGUUAUUUAUUUCUUGUUGUUGACAGGUUAAAUUUAUACUUACCUAUAAGGUUUGCCUAUUUCAUAUCACAUUUAUUUUCCUUGACCAUAAAUUGAACUAGAGAAAUCCCUUCAUCAAUAGGCAUUGCAAUUGUUGAAAGAAAAUUGGACCCCAUAAGUAUGGAGGUCUUUGAUCAUUUCCCUAGUUCCAUUUCUAGACAUCGGUCAGAUCCCAUUAAGAGCCAAAUUACUCAUCACUUUCAGAGAUCUAAGACUGCUACUGUAUCUACACAAGUCAGUAGCUUUGUGACCUUUUCCUAUAAAACCAGAAAACAAGAUAGUACUACGCCUAACUUGGUCUUCUUUGCAGAAAUUUUGUCUUCCUUCCUUUAAUUAUUACCUUGAAAAUUCAUGGUACUAGAAUGCUAAAUAUUUUCUUAUCUUGUGGAUUUAUCUCAUAGGAAUUUAGGAUGGAACUGAUGAAUUAAAUACUUAUCUACACAAGUAUCGCACAGAGUUAGAUCAACAUCUUGGUGCUCUUGUGGGGAGCCAUGGCAAUAAGACCAGCUACUGAACUACUUCUCACACUUGCUAAAUAUAAAUACAUGAGUACCCCAAGUAUGCUUGGUCAUGUUAUAUUAGUUCAUUUUUGCAAGAUUGGCAUCUUAAUUGACGAGAGAGUUGGCUAAUGAGAUAUAUAAGGAAGCUAAGAAGUUUGCUUAUUAGAAUGGAGCAAAGGUGGCUGUUGUUUAUGGUGGAACGCCAAUGGGUCAGCAAGUUUGUGUCUCUGCAGGCUUACUGGCCAUUCCGUUUUCUAUGACCACUUCUAUGAUUCGGGUGAUUCCAUUCAUGAUCAGAUUGUGAAACUGGUACAGCAGUACACCUAGCUAGUUCCUUUAUUAACUUGUGUCUUGUAGAAAUUUUUCAUUCAUUAAGCAUUUGAACUUGUCUGCAGAUUAGUAGAUAUGAGUUAUUUUGAACUGAUGUUCAUGAUUAGGUUUGUGUACAUGAGACAAUGGUGGAUUAAUGGAAAUUGCAAUGAAUGAUUUUGGA